GUACGGAGGGUGCGAGCGUUAAUCGGAAUUACUGGGCGUAAAGCGCGCGUAGGCGGUUUGGUCAGUCAGAUGUGAAAGCCCUGGGCUCAACCUGGGAACUGCAUUUGAUACUGCCAGGCUAGAGUAUGGUAGAGGGAAGUGGAAUUCCGGGUGUAGCGGUGAAAUGCGUAGAUAUCCGGAGGAACACCAGUGGCGAAGGCGACUUCCUGGACCAAUACUGACGCUGAGGUGCGAAAGCGUGGGUAGCAAACAGGAUUAGAGACCCCAGUAGUCC
rnacentral:rRNA from 1 species